ensembl:lncRNA
CUGGAGCCCUGGGUAGCGUGUUGUGUGAUCUAUUUGUGCUGUACAACACAGUGCAGCAAAGAACUUCAGCUGUUUCGGUCAAGCUCAACAGAACGUUACAGAUGUCACGUGAAUGUCAUACCGCAAUCCUGGUAUUUAAUCACUUGGUUCAGAAGUAGCAAUUUUGCAGUGUUUUUUGCAGUGUAAUGAACUGCGAGCACUGCACAGUCACAGAAAACCCUUUGCAUAGUGCCAGUCACCUCCUGCACCUCUGGAUCGCCUCCCACUGAUCUCCUUUCUGAUAUGGAGCUGCAGGUACUGCCAGGCACACAGACAUCACUGUGGGCACAGAACAGGACCGGACGCUGCCCCGUGGUGACUGCUGCAGCCUCCGCCAGGAUCCUGCAGUGAGAAGGUCCCCAAAAGAAGCCUGAAAUCCUACCCUGCUCUGAAUGAGAAUUGCCUAACAUCAGAUAAGCUGUUGGAGCCAGGAAAAGAGUAGUGCUGGAUCAGCCCAACAGAGGGCAAUGGGAUACAUUGACUUGAGACAGCUCCACACACUGUGGAAGAUGCUAAAGCUGGUCCCAGACCAGUCAGUCAGAAUCCCCCCACCAGUUGCAACAGCCCUGACUCUACUGUGCACAGAUUGCUUGACACAGUGUAAGAAGGAAGGAAUAAAAAGCAGGGGUGAGCGAGAAAAAAGUGCGAUGCUUCCUGGAGUGCUCACAUAGUUGAAUGUUGGCUCCUGUGCUUUGCAAAGGUGGUUUUAUUUUUUAUAAUUUUUUAUUUAUUGCCUGCAUUUGUUCUGAGAUCUGCA